AGAGGUGACUAAUCAGCUCAUGAAGCAUCUCCAUCCUACUUCGUCUCACCAAACACGCCAACUCUUGCUCCAGAAAAUACUUUGUUCCUACGAGAAAGCUCUUUUCAUUCUGAAUUGGAACGGUUUCGAUGUUGGAACUAAGCCCGCGUUUCAAUCCUACCCAA